rnacentral:lncRNA from 1 species
CUGUGCAUUGGCCAUGUGUCAGGUGUCCAUAUGCUGCCAUUUCACUGCCUUUAGGAAAUUUUGCUGUUGCAUGUCCUUUGCAAACAGACACCUUGCCAAAGUGAAGGCUAAGGAGACGGAUAUUGCAGUAGGUGCUCUCAGGUCUCUUUUUCAGUAUUGCUGGUGCCACUAUGGAAAAUGAAAAAUCCUGAACUCCAGUCUGCCAUCACCCAAGGGUGCUUCUGGUCCCUGUGAUCCCCCAGGAUGGACUAAUGCCAGCCAUUCCCCCUCCAGCACUGCUGAUAUUGCUGCCCAAAUUCUGCAGGGAAGGAGGCAGGUGAGGUGCAUGAGGUGCCUUGCUGGGAUGGCUUUGCACAGGAGAUAAACCUGGUCUUUCUGCAUUUCUGUGCUGGGCUGUGCAAACAUCAGGCUUUGAGGACUCCUUGAACCUGGAACAGCAGUAGAAAUGCAAUGUUGUUUUUCCCUUAUCCCAUUUGGAUAAUUUGAAUAUGGUUGUUUGUCACUCUUUAUCCUGGUUACUCAGGAACUCCCAAUGAACUGGUCCUGCAGAAUCACAGAAUGGUUUGGGUUGAAAGGAGCCUUAAAGACCAUCUUGUUCCAACCCCCAGCCAUGGAAUACCUGUUCUUUAUGUGGUAGUGAAAAAAACAACAGUGGUGUGCUGUAUCACUCCUGGCCCUUGGUCUGCUGGUAGCUGAGAGGGUCCCAUCUUGGUGUUACUGUCACAGGAAGCAACUCUGCACCACCAGAAGCCUGUACUGAAGCUCAUGGAGGAAUCUGAACCAGUGACUCAAGAGGAUGAAGCUGGGUUUUGUCUAUUUGGACUUUGAAUAUUUUGUGUGGUUUUGCAGAUAAAACAGUAGCCCUGAGGCUCAGAAGAUCUUCAUUCUUUCCUGAUCUCUGUAGAAGAAAUGCACUUCAUCUGUAAAAUAGGGAUGGAGAUUCUUCUUGUUGGAGGAGGGAACAGCUCAGGUCUCUGUCAGCCCACACCCAUUGCUCUGAACAGCCCUGCAAGUGCUUCCAGGGAAGCUGCUGGACAGCAUCCAGACUGGGAAAAGGAACCGCCUGAGUUUAUCAGCGGAGUUCCAAGCUUUGGAUGGAUAUUCCUGCUGCAAAGUUGCCAAGGCUAUCCCUGUACUGAACCACACCCAGCAGCACUGAAGGGAAAUUCAGGCAUGCCAGGGGUAAGCGGGAUGGCUGGGACCACACAGUCACCCAGCAACAGAGAUCAAUAUUAUUUAGGUCUCUUCUCCCUCGUCUGAUUGCUCUGGCCUGGUUGUUGCGUUGCACUUGGCUUUCAGCAGGGGCAAGGACUGGCAGGAGCUGUCAAUAUGUUGGGAGUGAGGCUGAUUAACCCUCCUCGCUUCAAAAAUGAGGAUUGGGAGGAGUGUAGUGGAAGCAUCUGCAGGCAGAUGUUCCCAUGCCAUCCUAUGCUGCUCAGAGCUCUGCACAGGGUGUCGGUCGACCUCCACCCUGUGGGACCCAAUGGACCUUGGCCGGACCAGGCAGAGUCCUCAGGGCUGUCGACUGACAAACGCUUCUGUUUUGGGGUGGGAGGGAGUCUGUCCCCUGCGGUGUAACUGCUGCCCGGCGGGUCUGGUCCCCUGGAGGCAGCCGGCACUGCGUCCCACGCUCCUGCCGGGAGCAGCAUCGCUGGGCUUCCUGCAGGAAUCGCUCCGUGGGGUGUCUGGAAGGUGCCCGUGGGGGAGGUGAGGAGCCAUCAGGAAGUGCAGCUGAACGAGGUACCUGCAGACCUGAACCUUGGUGGUAUCUGUCUCUGGAGCCGUGACAAUGCCAGAGCCGCUGUCGGACUUCAGAGCUCAGAGCUCUGGAGACGGUCCAGAACCGCCCGCCGCUUGUGCGCCUUUCUCACAGUGGGGACUGCAGGAGGGCCGCGCUGGACAGACGGACAGAGGGACAGGGAUUGCUCCGCGCUGCUGUUGGGAUGUGCGGCCGAGUCUCGCUUGGCCGCGGUGACGGGCACUCCCUCUAUUGACUUCUGCCGAAGUUGCAUCCUUUCAUCCAGCAGUGUCCCUGGCUCUGGUGAUAAUAGCACCUUCCCUAAUGUCUGUAGCCCUCACUAAACCACAGACCAGACUGAUUAUUGCUGCUUUUGUAGCCUUUGCAGAGCUGUUUUUUAUUUAUAAUUGCACCCCACUGGUCUCUUCAUAAUGAUUUUCCCGGCUGCAUCCUAUGCGGUCCACUGCUGCAAAGCCACAUUUUCAUAGAGGCUGUUGUUGGUUUUAAUCCAGCUUGUUAUUUGGAUGAUAUAUUAAUAGCAAUAUCUCUGUGAAGCUUUAGAGUGUUUUCUUUUCCAAAACAUUUACAAUAAAAUCUAAGUGUUA